AAUGAACCGGCGAGUUACGAUUUGAUGCAAGGUUAAGCAGUAAAUGUGGAGCCGUAGCGAAAGCGAGUCUGAAUAGGGCGUUUAGUAUUUGGUCGUAGACCCGAAACCAGGUGAUCUACCCUUGGUCAGGUUGAAGUUCAGGUAACACUGAAUGGAGGACCGAACCGACUUACGUUGAAAAGUGAGCGGAUGAACUGAGGGUAGCGGAGAAAUUCCAAUCGAACCUGGAGAUAGCUGGUUCUCUCCGAAAUAGCUUUAGGGCUAGCCUCAAGUGAUGAUUAUUGGAGGUAGAGCACUGUUUGGACGAGGGGCCCCUCUCGGGUUACCGAAUUCAGACAAACUCCGAAUGCCAAUUAAUUUAACUUGGGAGUCAGAACAUGGGUGAUAAGGUCCGUGUUCGAAAGGGAAACAGCCCAGACCACCAGCUAAGGUCCCAAAAUAUAUGUUAAGUGGAAAAGGAUGUGGCGUUGCCCAGACAACUAGGAUGUUGGCUUAGAAGCAGCCAUCAUUUAAAGAGUGCGUAAUAGCUCACUAGUCGAGUGACACUGCGCCGAAAAUGUACCGGGGCUAAACAUAUUACCGAAGCUGUGGAUUGUCCUUUGGACAAUGGUAGGAGAGCGUUCUAAGGGCGUUGAAGCAUGAUCGUAAGGACAUGUGGAGCGCUUAGAAGUGAGAAUGCCGGUGUGAGUAGCGAAAGACGGGUGAGAAUCCCGUCCACCGAUUGACUAAGGUUUCCAGAGGAAGGCUCGUCCGCUCUGGGUUAGUCGGGUCCUAAGCUGAGGCCGACAGGCGUAGGCGAUGGAUAACAGGUUGAUAUUCCUGUACCACCUAUAAUCGUUUUAAUCGAUGGGGGGACGCAGUAGGAUAGGCGAAGCGUGCGAUUGGAUUGCACGUCUAAGCAGUAAGGCUGAGUAUUAGGCAAAUCCGGUACUCGUUAAGGCUGAGCUGUGAUGGGGAGAAGACAUUGUGUCUUCGAGUCGUUGAUUUCACACUGCCGAGAAAAGCCUCUAGAUAGAAAAUAGGUGCCCGUACCGCAAACCGACACAGGUAGUCAAGAUGAGAAUUCUAAGGUGAGCGAGCGAACUCUCGUUAAGGAACUCGGCAAAAUGACCCCGUAACUUCGGGAGAAGGGGUGCUCUUUAGGGUUAACGCCCAGAAGAGCCGCAGUGAAUAGGCCCAAGCGACUGUUUAUCAAAAACACAGGUCUCUGCUAAACCGUAAGGUGAUGUAUAGGGGCUGACGCCUGCCCGGUGCUGGAAGGUUAAGAGGAGUGGUUAGCUUCUGCGAAGCUACGAAUCGAAGCCCCAGUAAACGGCGGCCGUAACUAUAACGGUCCUAAGGUAGCGAAAUUCCUUGUCGGGUAAGUUCCGACCCGCACGAAAGGCGUAACGAUUUGGGCACUGUCUCAACGAGAGACUCGGUGAAAUCAUAGUACCUGUGAAGAUGCAGGUUACCCGCGACAGGACGGAAAGACCCCGUGGAGCUUUACUGUAGCCUGAUAUUGAAAUUCGGCACAGCUUGUACAGGAUAGGUAGGAGCCUUUGAAACGUGAGCGCUAGCUUACGUGGAGGCGCUGGUGGGAUACUACCCUAGCUGUGUUGGCUUUCUAACCCGCACCACUUAUCGUGGUGGGAGACAGUGUCAGGCGGGCAGUUUGACUGGGGCGGUCGCCUCCUAAAAGGUAACGGAGGCGCUCAAAGGUUCCCUCAGAAUGGUUGGAAAUCAUUCAUAGAGUGUAAAGGCAUAAGGGAGCUUGACUGCGAGACCUACAAGUCGAGCAGGGUCGAAAGACGGACUUAGUGAUCCGGUGGUUCCGCAUGGAAGGGCCAUCGCUCAACGGAUAAAAGCUACCCCGGGGAUAACAGGCUUAUCUCCCCCAAGAGUUCACAUCGACGGGGAGGUUUGGCACCUCGAUGUCGGCUCAUCGCAUCCUGGGGCUGUAGUCGGUCCCAAGGGUUGGGCUGUUCGCCCAUUAAAGCGGUACGCGAGCUGGGUUCAGAACGUCGUGAGACAGUU
rnacentral:rRNA from 1 species